rnacentral:rRNA from 1 species
UACGUAGGAGGCGAGCGUUGUCCGGAGUUACUGGGCGUAAAGCGUGCGCAGGCGGUUAUGUAAGACAGGGGUGAAAUCCCCGGGCUUAACCUGGGAACUGCAUUUGUGACUGCAUAGCUAGAGUACGGUAGAGGGGGAUGGAAUUCCGCGUGUAGCAGUGAAAUGCGUAGAUAUGCGGAGGAACACCGAUGGCGAAGGCAAUCCCCUGGACCUGUACUGACGCUCAUGCACGAAAGCGUGGGGAGCAAACAGG